UGGCGGCCUAACUAGGUCGCCCGUCCGCCUUCACUCGCCUGGGGUGGAGGGUCGGGCGUCGCUACCAGGCUCCACCUGCCGGCUGUCGUCACGGGCCGGCGGGGACACCUUUGCGUGACGUACGGCUGCCGAGGCGCUUGGUUUCGGGGUGCGGCAGCCCGACAAUGACCCGAGACCUACGCUCGUAGCGCUUCCGGAACUGAGGCACUUGGACCGGGGUUCGAUUCCCCGCACCUCCACCU
rnacentral:tmRNA from 1 species